AAUAAAGUCUCCUCUCUGAGUGCCUAAUCUUCUCCUGGUAAGCAGAGAGAGAGUGGUGCAUAAACUGCUUUCUUCCACUGCUGCCCCCAGAGGACCCCACAGUCCCACUCACGUGGCCUGUGGAGAGUGAAGCACAUAUGCAGAUCCGGAGACUAGAAUACUCUAACAGCUAUACUGAGACCUAAAGAGAAAAGACCAGGUGAGGAAACAAUGAGAAGACAGUGUCCUGUCCAUAUGACAGUGCCCACAUACAAGCAGUAAGAGGACCUUCAUCAGAAAUCAACACUGCUGAGCCCAUGAUUGUGAACUUUCAGCCUCCAGAACUAUGAGAAAAUAAAUGUGUG
rnacentral:lncRNA from 1 species